CGCGCGCUCGGCCACGCCCCCUCCGUCCUCCGGUUGGAAACGAGGGCGGGACGCUGGUUCAGGUACCCGAGCCGCGGAGAAUGGAGUUUCAGGUUUUGUUUUUGUUUGCUUUUCAGCCGCCACUACGGGUGUAGUUGAGUCUUGCACGAAAAAGACUGACUGUGUUUAUGCAGACAUUCCUAAAACCGAUGCCCUACCUGGAGGGGAAAUAGGUCUUUUCCUUUGAGUUGAAUGACGGAGGCAUUUCCCCGCUUACCUUGAGGGAAGUUCAGUACCUGUGAGACGAGGACGAGUAUUUCCCAGUCGGAGUGUGUGGUUUGGUUUGGUUUGGUUUGGUGGUGGUUUGCGGUGGUCACGCCUGUAAACCGAAUUUCUGGGAGCCUCCGUGUGGGCCUUCUCAGGGGCCAGCCGGCCGUGCUGGCAUCCUCGGGGACGUGCUUGGAAAGACGGGUUCUCGGGAGUCGCUCGGGCCUUCUGGAUCAGAAGGUGCCGGAGGGUCCCAGAAAUCCGUAUCUUCCCAGACCCCAAGUGAGCCUGAGGUUUGCGCCAGUUAGAAAACCGCAGCUCUAAUGAAUUAGAUCAGUCGGGAGAAAAUGUUGUCCUUCCGUGUUGCUCCCUCGUGGGUGAUCAGUAGAAGAAAAUGCUGAAAAGUGAUAAUGCUGAUAACUAAGUUUGGGAAAGACCUAUUUCUGUUUCCUUACGGAAGUGUUACCAGAAUUCAUAGAUAUGUAUAUAUUUAUAAUUUCAGGACUUUGGAGCCCAAAGACUUCGAGAAGAAGACACCUAUUCACCACACUCUUGCCUAGAAGACAACCAGAAAUAUUUGCCCAGGUACACAGACACCUGCGGAAACCAGUACAGAACCCUCACCACUUAGCUUUUGCUAACAGCAUGCCUUGCCACUGAGUUUUCCUGAAGACUGUCCCAUUCAACCUGCCUCACUCCAUAGGCCUCCCUCCAGAGUGAUUCCUCAUUGUGCCUCAACGGGGGUCAGCACCACUCCAGAGGUACUCUUGCCCUGGGGAGAGCAGAAGAUAACCGCACACACAGCAGUUCAAUGGCAGCCCCGACUGCCUGCCCCACCCACCAACAGAAACCCUCCGGGGGUGGGGGGGGCGGGGGUCAGCACAAAGAGAACCCAGUCAUUCAGGGUCACUGCAACCACCACAGAAGACUGGGGACAGACAUCUUCUCUUACUCCUGACCUUGCCCACCAAUGAAAGCCCCUUGGGGACAACAGAGGGAGAGAACUCUAUAGUUUGGUGCAACCAUGGUUCCAGCAAGUGGGCUGAAGGCAAAUAUUGGGUCUGACCUAAUUCAAGCCCAGAGUGGCCCCAGACUGGCACCUUAACAGCACAGGGACCAAACCCUGAUGACAACAGGCAAAGAGGGCCAGGGAAGCCAACUAGACUAAAGGCAAAUGUGGCUCAACGACAGUAGUAGGGUACAUGCAACACACACAGGAGAUCCCCCUGAAGCACCAGGGUCUCCGGAGGAGGAACACUGCCCUAUAGGGCAUUUCAGGAUCACUUCAUAAGGCCUCUCAUUUCAAGAUCAGGAGACCUAGCUGAUUUGAAUACACAGAAGCAGAAUUAGGAAUUAUGCCCCAAAUGAAACAACAGGACCAAGAAGAGAAUGUAAUUGUCAUAAAGAUACUCACUAGACUUAAGAUUGAAAGAUCCCCACGUGGCCUUCAGCAAAGAAAGAAAAUAUAAAAAAGAACCAAUUAGAGAUGAAGAGUUCUGAAAUUAAAAAUAUGCUCAAGUCAAUAAAUAGUAGGCCAGAGGAAGCAGUAAAACAGAUAGGAAGCUAGAUGAUGGUAAUAGAGCAACCAAGCUGGACGGGACCAAAAAAAAUGGUAAGAGAACUCAGCAACACCAUUAGGUGUAAUAGCAGUCACAUUCUAGGGAUCCCAGAAGGAGAAGAGAGACAAAAAGCAGAAAUUCUGAUUAAGUAUCUGAAAACUUUCCUACUCUGGGGAAGGAAACAAAUCUAGGUCCAGAAGGCACAGAGAGCCACCCAAAAAAAAAAAAAAAAAAAAAAAAAUCAACCUAAGGAAGUCCACACCAAGACACAAAAAAUGGCAAAAAGUAGUGAGAAUUUUUAAAGCAGCCAGAGGAAAAAACAAUUAUAUACGUACAAGGGAAACUCCAUAAAGCUGUCAGCAGAUUUUUCAGCAGAAACUUUGCAGGCCAGUGGCGAGGGGGUUGAUAUGUUCAAAGUGCUAAAGAAAAAAACCCUGCAGUUAGGAAUACUUUAUCCAGCACGACUGUCAUUCAGAAUACAAGGAGAGAGAAAGUUUUUCAGACAAAAGCAAAAGGAAUGCGUGACCACUAAACCAGGCCAACAAGAAAUACUAGGGGGAAUUCUUUGAGUGGAAAAGAAAAGGCCAUGAUCAGGUAUAAGAAAAUUAGAGAAGAAAAAAAUGUAAAUAUAACAUGUUUACAUGCUCAGGCACCUGUAAACAUAAAGUAGAUUAACCAGUACAGGGAUUAAAGCACAAAGCAGUAAGAUCAGUUAGAUCUAGAAAAAGAUCAGUAAAGGGAUUCACAAAAGAAUAUAUGGUAUGAUGUCAUAUACAUAAAUGUGUGGGGGUGGGAAGAGUAAAAGUUAUAUUGUCCAUGCUACGCAUAGCAAUCUACAGAUAUAAUGCAAUCCCUAGCAAAAUACCAACAGUAUUUAUCACAGAACUAGAACAAACAAUCCUAAAAUUUUAGGGACCACAGAAGACCCUGAAUUGCCAAAUCAAUCUUGAAAAACAAAACUGAAGCUAUCCCAAGUCCAGAUUUUAAGAUAGACUAUAAAACUGUAGUAAUCAAAAUAGUAUGGUACUAACACAAAAAUAGACCUAUAAAUAACAGAAAAGAGAGCCCAGAAAGAAACCUACAAUUACAUGGUCAAUUAAUCUACAACAAAGGAGGUAAGAAUAUACCAGGGGAAAAAGCCUCUUAAACAAAUGGUCCUGGGAAAUCUGGACAGCUACAUGCAAAGGAAUGAAACUGGAUCAUUUUCUUAUACCACACACACACACAUCUCAAAAGGGACUGAGGACCUCAAUGUGAGAUCUGAAACUAUACAACAAAGGAAGCCAGAGUAUGCAGUGCGACAGUUCUCUUCAAAAAAUGUUGGGAAAACUGGAAAACUAGACCACUUUCUUCCACCAUACACAAAAACUCAAAAUGGAUUAGGGUUCUAAACGUGAGACCUAAAACAUAAAAAUCCUGGGAGAGUGCACAGGCAGUAGUUUCUCUGCCAUCACCCAUAAUAUUUUUCUAGGUAUCUCCUGAGGCAAGGGAAACAAAAGCAAAAAUAAUCUAUUAGAACUACAUCUAAAUAAAAAGCUUUGGUGCAGUGAAGGAAAUAAACAAAACUAAAAGGCAACCUGCUGAACGGGAGGGGAGAUUUGCAAAUGACAUAUCCAACAUAUAAAGAGUUGAUGCAACUCAACACCCAAACAAUAAUUAAUUAAAACCAAUUAAAAAAGUGGUCAGACAUGAACAGAUAUUUCUCCACAAGGCAUACAGGUGGCCCAAAGACCUGAAAAGAUCAACAUUACUCAUCAGUGAAAUGCAAUUAGAGGUACAAUAAACUGUCACUUCCCACCUGCCAGAAUGGCUAAAGUCAACACCACAAGAAACAACAAGUAUUGGCAAGGAUGUAGAGAAAAAGGAACCCUCGUGCACUGUUGGUGGGAAUGCAAGCUGGCGCAGCCACUCUGGAACACAGUAUGGGGGUGCCUCAAAAAGUUAAAAAUAGAGUACCCUAAGAUCCAGUAAUCACACUGCUGGGUAUUUACCCACAUAAACUGAAACAGUAAAUCAAGAAGAUGCAAGCAUCCCUAGGUUUAUUGCAGCAUUAUUUACGUUAGCCAAGAUACAGAGCCAGUCCAUGUAUCUUUCCAUAGAUGAUAAAUACAUGGUAUAAAUACGGAAGGGAGUAUUACUCUGCCAUAAAAAAGAAAAUUUGUCAUUUGCAACAUAGAAUUCUAUCUUCUAAAUCCAUCUGAGUGAAAUAAGUCAAAGACCUAUCAUAGGAUUUCAUUCAUAUAUGGAAUUUCAGAAAUGAGAAACCAAAAAACAUACUCUUAACUAUAGAGAACUGAUGGUUAUCACAGGGGAGGUGGUUCGGGGUACAGGUGAAACAGGUGAUGGGGAUGAAGAAUACACUUAGCACUGAGUAAUGUAUAGAAUUUUUGAAUCAUUAUAUUGUACCCUUGGAAUCUGUUACAUUUGGAUUAAAUAUGAAUUAAAGAUAAUUUUUUUUAAUUGA